rnacentral:rRNA from 1 species
GACGAACGCUGGCGGCGUGCUUAACACAUGCAAGUCGAACGAAGUGGCGAACGGGUGAGUAACGCGUAAUCAACCUGCCCUUCAGAGGGGGACAACAGUUGGAAACGACUGCUAAUACCGCAUACUGAAGGUGGGGAUUGCGUUGGAUUGGCUAGUUGGAAGGGUAACGGCCCACCAAGGCGAUGAUCAGUAGGCGGUCUGGGAGGAUGAACGGCCAGACAGGGACUGUGACCCGGCCCAGACGCCUACGGGAGGCAGCGGUGGGGAAUGUGCCGCAAUUUGCGAAAGUCUGGCGGAGCAACGCCGCGUGAGUGAUGACGGCCAUCGGGUUGUAAAGGUCGGUUAAUCGGGACGCGGUACCGGAAGAGAAAGCCACGGCUAACUACGUGCCAGCCGCCGCGGUAAUUC